rnacentral:lncRNA from 1 species
AUGUUAAGAACGCUUCUCUUCUGUGGGGCAGUUUAUACUGCAAUUCUUUUUGAUCCCAAAUAAUGGAAAUUGUAGGAUCCCAGAAGGCUGAGACCAGACAGAGGGAUUUUACACUUCCCCGAUCCCCUAUCAUAUCAGAUGCACCAGCCAAGUAAUAGCGCCACAGCUCCUGUCUUCAGCCUGAAUAUGGGCUUCCUCAGUUUUCCAAACCAUCCUCACCCCUGGGUGGUAUCUCCCAUUUGCCGGUGAUGAUGGACAGCAGAGGAGUUGCCCAGGAUCCAACCAAGUCUUUGCACCCUGACCAAAUGCCCAUGCCGGAGAAGGCUUGCUAACCCUCUUUAUUCGUUUCCUCGGAGCAGAAACUGAGCAUCCAGGGGGACAUUUAAUUUCAUCUCUCCUUCCUGGACACCAAAGGAAUGGUUUCUUCCCAUUCUUGAAACAAGAAAAAAGAAAGAAAAGAUUGCUACAUGGCAGCAACGGCCAGGUCCUCAGGCACCAGAGAGAGAAUUUUCCAUGCUGGGAGCUAACAUCACCAAGCACCUACAAACAGCGUUAGAUACUGUACGAAAUGAUUUCACAGCAGCUCUUCUCAUUUUAGAGAUAAGAAAACUGAGGUUUUUAGCUAGGAAAACCUGGAAGAGAGAUCAAGGAAGCAUAUGCCUGGGCCGUGGGAGGUUUGAUGAUAACAAAUCCUGCCUUCCCUUUGAUGAGAAAAGGAUCAGCAAAGUGCACGUGGAGAAUGAAAGCAACUCUGAGCCUGGGUUCCGGCAGAAUCUGGUUGACAAAGGACACGAAGGGACUUGUGAACCUCUUGUAUAAGUCCAGAUUCUUGGGUGCAAGUGACAGAAAUCAAACUCAAGCUAGGUUAAGCUGAAAGAGAAGAAAUAUACCGGCUCAUCUAACUGGGAAACCAGGAGUAGGCAUGGGACGUGGAUAGAAUCAGAUAAAGACAGAACAACUAGAUGGCUAACUAAAAAUGCAUGAACACAUUUAUGACAAAACUGGGUGACAAGAUAUCCCCCCAAAUCUCCGUAUACAUGAAGACCUGCGUGGUAUU